AUUUCACUCUGUGUCUGUUAUUAUCACUGAAGUCGUUCUCCUGCAGUACAAGUAUGAUCACGUGAGGUCCAGGAGCAGACAGAUUCACACACUCUUUCACUCCCAGUGUGAUCUGAGUGAUUGACAGAUUUGGCCUCAGCAGCAGAACAAUCCUCAAAUCACUCACUGGAACACAGAACACAAAUAACAGUAAAACUCGACCCGUGAUCCACGAACAGAGAUGUCAGAUUUCAGAUUGAAGGUACUGGACCAGAUCAACAACUGCCAUUGAGAUGAGUGGAGAUGUGAACACAAUCUUACACCACCGGUCCAAAGUUUUUGAACUGACACAGACGGAGGCAGAGAGUUAAGUGAACACAGAUGUUGUUUAUUAGACAGAGGCACAAACACAGGUAAAUGGUGGAUGCAGGUGAGUGAAUGAACAAGCACUUUCUGAACAGUCACUUAGCUGAAGGAUAACAGAAGUUUGACUUUGCAGGUGAAGGGAUCAAUGUGGAACGGAGAACAGGAGACGGAGGACGAGAUGGAGACACGGGAAACUCGGAUCCCUUGUCUCCCUGGACUACAAAUCCCAUGAUCCUCCUGUUCUCCACACCUGCACUCACUUCCCUCGUCAUCUCCCCAUCUUCACUGAUCUUCGUCACCUGGACUCCCUCGUCAGCACCACCUUUAUAAUGGACCCACUCCCUUCACUCCCGGUCCGUUCUCUGUUGUGUUAAAGUGUAUGUUUGGUGUUUCCUGCCUGUGUUUAUUAAAGUAGUAUCUAUAUUUGUGGAAAUCCGUAUCUGCCUCAUCUCUACACCAGCUACUAGUGAUGGGCAUUCCGGCUCUUUUUUGUGAGCCGGUUCGUUUGAUUCAGCUCACUGAAAAGAGCCAGCUCUUUAAAUAAUAAAUGUUUUAACUAUGACUUGGACUAUGAUAGGUGUGAAAACAAUUUGUGAAAUUGUGAGACAUUGCGAGUAUGAUUUCAUUUAAUAAUUUAAUUAGAACUGUUUUCACACCUAUCAUAGUCAA